GCCUGGGUGGCUCAAUUGGUUAAGCAUCUGACUUCAACUCAGGUCAUGAUCUCAUGGUCCGUGAGUUUGAGCCCCACAUCAGGCU
rnacentral:tRNA from 1 species